UUGACCUCGGAUCAGGUAGGACUACCCGCUGAACUUAAGCAUAUCAAUAAGCGGAGGAAAAGAAACCAACAGGGAUUGCCCCAGUAACGGCGAGUGAAGCGGCAACAGCUCAGAUUUGGAAUCUGGCCCCCAGGGCCCGAGUUGUAAUCUGGAGAGGAUGCUUCUGGCGCGGCGCCUUCCGAGUUCCCUGGAACGGGACGCCGGAGAGGGUGAGAGCCCCGUACGGUUGGACGCCUAGCCUUUGUGAAGCUCCUUCGACGAGUCGAGUAGUUUGGGAAUGCUGCUCAAAAUGGGAGGUAAAUUUCUUCUAAAGCUAAAUACCGGCCAGAGACCGAUAGCGCACAAGUAGAGUGAUCGAAAGAUGAAAAGCACUUUGAAAAGAGGGUCAAACAGUACGUGAAAUUGUUGAAAGGGAAGCGCCCGUGGCCAGACUUGUGCCCCGCGGACCACCCGGCGCCCUCAGCGCCGGUGCACUCCGCGGGGCGCAGGCCAGCAUCGGUUUUCCUAGGGGGAUAAAGGCGGCGGGAACGUGGCUCCCUCGGGAGUGUUAUAGCCCGCCGCGCCAUGCCCCUGGGGGGACCGAGGACCGCGCUUCGGCAAGGAUGCUGGCGU
rnacentral:rRNA from 1 species